AUUGAACGCUGGCGGCAUGCUUUACACAUGCAAGUCGAGCGGCAGCGCGGGGGGCAACCCUGGCGGCGAGCGGCGAACGGGUGAGUAAUGCAUCGGAACGUACCCUGGAGUGGGGGAUAACGCCGCGAAAGCGGCGCUAAUACCGCAUAUGCUCUGAGGAGGAAAGUGGGGGACCUGCAAGGGCCUCACGCUCUGGGAGCGGCCGAUGUCCGAUUAGCUAGUUGGUGGGGUAAAGGCUUACCAAGGCGACGAUCGGUAGCUGGUCUGAGAGGAUGAUCAGCCACACUGGGACUGAGACACGGCCCAGACUCCUACGGGAGGCAGCAGUGGGGAAUUUUGGACAAUGGGCGGAAGCCUGAUCCAGCCAUGCCGCGUGAGUGAAG
rnacentral:rRNA from 1 species